rnacentral:snoRNA from 1 species
UGUCUUUGUGUGGCCCAUUCAUAGUCUCCAGAGGGAAUGAGUUGUCAACCAAGGCAUACUGUAACCUUUUAGUUGUAGUUUUUUGGAAGGAGUCAUCACUGAUUCCUUUUAUUUAAGAUCAACUGCAAGAACACAC